AAAGUCGUAACAAGGUAACCGUAGGUGAACCUGCGGUUGGAUCAUUAUUGAUUUUGUGGAUGUAUUUUUGAAGAGUUAAAAAUUGACUCUCAAAUAUAUCCUUUAACCCUAUGUGCAAAUAUUAUUGUUUUUUGGGUAAUUAAUUAUGGUUGUAUGUUUUUAACAUGCACAAUUAAUUAAUGCCCAGCCAUUUAAACUUUGUAGAGUCGUCUGAUAUUUUUUAGAUUAAAAUAACAACUUUUGACAACGGAUCUCUUGGCUCUC
rnacentral:misc_RNA from 1 species